CACAGUUGUUGUGGCCGGGUGGUCAGGGAGCAGGAGGGGAUGAGCUGUGAGUUUCUAGUGAUCGACAGGGAUUGGGCAGCUGGUUGGGGAAGCCGUGGACGAGGACGCAGGGAAGUAAGUGUGAACAGCCAACAGGCCCGGGAGCUUGGGCAGGCGCUGGCCGGACUGUGACAGCCUUCAGCACCAGGCUGGGGACAGAAGGCUUGAUCCUGCCAGCCGCGGAGAGUCACUGGAGGGCGUUUUAGGGAGAUGACCGUGUGCAGAGGUACCAUGUACUCUUUUUCCAAAGUGCAGACAUGACAUUUCUGGUUGGUCUUGAAUGUCUGCCUCUGCCGAGCGGCCUCAUCUCGUCCACGGGCGAAUUACCUUCCAACCAAAUAGCCCGUGUGCCCACGCAGGCCACUGUCAAAGAGCACUGUAAUUGUCUGGACAAUUUCCUCUCAAGUGCUCUGGGCUUGAGGCUUCCAGUCGGUGGAAGAGGGAAGACAGAAGGGCGACAGCGGCCCUGCUGGGUCCCUGGUGCACACGGGAGUCGGCGCCCAGCCAGGCUCCAGAGCAGCCCGGGCUGGUGAGGGACCUGGCCGGGCAGAUGGGACGCGAGGUGUUCUGCAUCGUACUCCUCCCGGGGAGCGGCCCAAUGUCCUCCAGCCUCCUGGAACCUGCCAUCGACUGAUCCCACCACCUGAGCUCCGUCCUUGCCCCCUUUGUGUCCUCAUUUCUCUCCUUCCCAGCUUUGCAUUCACUCCUUUGUGCAAAUGCUCCUCUCCCUUGCCCCCUCUGCCUUCAUUUUCCUUUAGAAAAACCCCCACUGGGUCCAGUCCAGCCCUCUGUCCCCUGGGGACCCGUUCAGAGCAGCCGCCCCCACUGGAGAAGGCUGUGUGGCCAGGUGGUGUCGGGGAACUGGCAGGACCACUUGCCCAUAUGGCACUGGGCGCUGACCAGCCCCGGCCCACUUGCCCUUGUCUGGUCCUGCCCUCGUUCUCCUGGAUGACCGUGGCCGGCUCCCCUGUGCUCAAACCUCCAGCACCUCCUCCCCAUCUUCCUUCUCGAGACGUCAUCUUGCUUCCUAUUUCUCUGAGAAAAUUGAGCAAGCUGAGAACAUCCACUAAUGCCCACGUCCCAGGCCCCUGCAGCCACCUGCCACCAUUCUGAAUUGAGCUGUGUGCCCUCCAGUCUGGGCUGGUCUCGCCACGUGGGCACCAGGCCCCUGCUGCCCUACACAGGGACAUCUCUUCAACAUCGUCAAGGCUUCCCUUCUCACCAGAUCAUUUCCGAAGGCAUACAAACAUGCUUCAAGGUCACCUUCAAAACAACAACAAAACAAAACACAUCCACUGGCAGAGGGUCCUAACCAUUUUGGUUUUGUUUUUUGUUGUUGAUGUCAUUGUUUGGAGGGGUUAUUUGUUCUGCCUUGGAUUCCUUUGGCAAAUCUGGUGAAAUCUGUGUAUCUCUUCUCAACACAAUGCUUCAAAUGUAUAAAACAAUAUACAGGAUAAUAAAGGAAGCCCGUUUGGUGAAAUGCAGUCACCAAACUAUUUUAAAGCAAUUCUGUCCAUAGGAAUGCGUGGGCUUCCAUAGUAACGCGUCACAUGACGAGAUCUAGCAGGGGUCUUAUAGCCACCAUUUGAAAUAGUGACAAUGGCAAAUGCUCUUUCCGGGUAUCUGCAGCACUUGCAAUGUGAUGCAAACCGUCGGUGAUUUCUAUUGCUGAUUAAGUCACGGGCACCAAUCAAACUGCUGGAGGUGGCUGCCUGUGCUCGUGGUUGAGGAAAUGCUAGUUGUCGGUGAAAUAAAAAAUGUUACUUUUUUCCUAUCUGAGUUGACAGAUACCCUGAAUUCAGUGGGCCCUGGGCCCUGUCCUACAACUGUUGCCUCAUUGCCUACUUCCCUUUGAUGGUCCAAGUCCUUGAAAGAUUCCCUGGGCUCAUUCUCUCCCGUCCCUCUGUCCCUAUUCUCUCUUGAGCCCACUCCAGUCACUCCACCAAAACUGCACUCGUCCAAGUCUCCGGUUUCCUUCAUGUGGCUAUAUCAAUGACCAUUGCUCAAUGCUGGGUGACUUGAUUUAUCUGAUCACUUGCCCUCUCCAACGUGGAGCCCCGUCCUCACUCACCAGCCUCCUCUGGGUUGAUUCCUAGCUCCUGGCCACGCCUUAUACCCCACGGCUGCCUCCUCCUCAGGCCCCAUCUGCGGUUCGGGAGGGCUCCUGGGUCAGCCCUCCGGCCCCUGCUCUUCUGUGUCCACACUCACUCCCUAGGGGCCUCCAUCCAGUCUCAUGGCUUCCAACCCCAUCUCUGUGCUGUGGAGUCCCUGAACUCUGCACUUACUUAUCCAGCUGUGGUCACCCUCAGCUGGGUGGGGACAGUCACCUCCAAACCAGCACGUCCAGAACAAAACUCCUCGUGUCUGCCUGGCAUCCUCUGUAUUUGUCAGGGUCCUCCAGAGAAACAGAACCAAUAGGCUGUGCAUAUAUAGAGAAGGAGACUUGUUAUGAGGAAUUGGCUCACGUGAUUGCGGGGACUGGCAAGUCUGAAAUCUGCAGGGUGGGCCAGCAGGCUGGAGACCCAGGAGAUACAAUGCUGUGGCCCCAGUGGGAAGGCAUCUGCUAUAGAACCAAGGAGGGCUGAUGUUGCAAAUAAAGCCCAAAGACAAUCCCCUGGAGAAACCUUUCUUGCUCAGGGGAGGACGGAUGUUAGGGACUGAA